AGCAGAGUAGUUAAAAAUGAAAACACUCAGAACCCACAUGCUGUCUGGGUUCAAAUUCCAGCUCAGCUA
rfam:Nomascus leucogenys chromosome 23, whole genome shotgun sequence.